rnacentral:lncRNA from 1 species
AGGGCACCUUCAUCCCGCGAUUACUCACUGAGCAUCUCCUGUGCGCCAGGCACUGUUCUGGGCGUGGGGGACACAGCAGUGAUGGCAGCAAACAAAAAAUCCCUGCCCUAGCGGAACGGACCUUCUAAAGAAAGGAUGGACACUAGACAAUAUUUUCCUCAUCUCGAAAAUGGAACUAGUGGUGAAGUUCUGAGGUUCUGUCUCCUUCCUGGAUUCCUGGCCCAACCAGCCCUGUCAUGGGGUGGAGAGCAGUGACUCGGCAGAAAUGGAAGCGGGAGACUUACAAACCAACUGAGGACCAGUGUCCAAGAAGAGGAAAUUAGGACCCGGACACGCACAGAGGAAGGACCACAGGAGACACGGCAGGAAGACGGCUGUCUUACAAGCCAAGAAGGGAGGCCUCCGAAGAAACCAACUCUGCCGACCCCUUCAUCUUGGAUUUCCAGGCUCCAGAACUGGGAGAAAACCAGUUUCUACUGUUUCAGCCGCUCGGUCUGUGGCAUUUUGUUCUGGCAACCCUGGGAAACCGAGUUGCAGGUAUAUCGUGUUGUCCCCAUUUUGCAACCAAAGAAAUGGAGGUUUUGAGAGGGAACGGACUCACCCAGGGUCCCAGAGCUAAUGAGCAGCAGAGCCCAACUGCAAACAGGGGUCUCUGGGCAGCAGAGGGCAAGCCCUCCACACUGGGGAUGCUUGCCUGAGUGAGUCUGCAGACCCCCUGGCCUCCUCUCCCAGGUCUGGGGAGCCCUUCCCUCCAUCCAGCCCCCCUCCCUCUUCAGCUUUGACUGCACUGGCCUUGAGAGGCUCCCUCCAGCUCCCCGCCUCUGGGCCUCUGGCUCCGCUGCUGCUGCUGCUGCUGCUGCUGCGGCACUGAGCUUUGCCAGCUUAUUCCCAGCCUCCUUUCCUCUGAAGUCUUCCCUCUCAGCUUUAACACACACACACUCACACACAUACACACACACUCACACACAUACACACACACACACACACACACACGCACACACACACUCAGCUCCAUGCUCACCCUGCCUGGCAGCCACUGUGAGGCUCUCACCAGCACCUUUCCUAAAGCCUACUGCAGACCAGCCACAGAGUGGCUUUGGUGGCAUGGCUUUAGGGGCACCCCCUGAAGACCCCACCCCAUCACUCCCUGUGUCCCCGUUGCCUGGGGUGAGCAGAGCGGUGUGCAGAGAGGAUCUCACUGACUCCAACCCCCUGCAGCAUGGACUAGUAUUGUCUCCAUUUUCUAUAUGUGGAGCCAAGGCCCAGAGAGGGGUAGGGGGUCUGCCUCAGGAUGCACAGCAACGAGUGGUGGAGCUGGGAUUCAUUCCAAAGAGACUCAGCUCUCUCCAACGGAAGCCAAAAGUCAAAGAAUAGGAUUAAUACCAAAAGGUCGUGGCUACUACACAGGGCCUUCUCUGAGAGCGGGUUAUGAAGCGGGCAGAGGGCAGGGAAUGGGCACAUGCCCCCAGAGGCACCCCCCCUUCACUGUUGCCCCAAUCCUCCCACUGUGGGUGCUCCAAUCCCCAAAGGACAUGCCGAACCUCCACCCAGCCCACGUUCAUUCCCACGUGUGCCCUGCAGGGACCCUCAAGGCCCCACUCUAGGGGGAGGGGAUGCCAGCCAUGGCCGACCUCUAUCAAGCACCUCCCUGGUGCCAGGCUCUUCGCUGUGUUCUGUAUCACAGCACCGGAAGGGGGAGCCGGGCCAGGCCCCACCUCCAAGAGCGCAUGGUCUGGUGGGGCAGACACACUCAGUUAUCCUCAAGCA